rnacentral:rRNA from 1 species
AACGAACGCUGGCGGCAGGCUUAACACAUGCAAGUCGAGCGCAUCCUUCGGGGUGAGCGGCGGACGGGUGAGUAACGCGUGGGAACGUGCCCUCUUCUACGGAAUAGCCUCGGGAAACUGAGAGUAAUGCCGUAUACGCCCGCAAGGGGAAAGAUUUAUCGGAGGAGGAUCGGCCCGCGUUGGAUUAGGUAGUUGGUGGGGUAACGGCCUACCAAGCCGACGAUCCAUAGCUGGUUUGAGAGGAUGAUCAGCCACACUGGGACUGAGACACGGCCCAGACUCCUACGGGAGGCAGCAGUGGGGAAUCUUGGACAAUGGGGCAACCCUGAUCCAGCCAUGCCGCGUGAUCGAUGAAGGCCUUAGGGUUGUAAAGAUCUUUCAGCUGGGAAGAUAAUGACGGUACCAGCAGAAGAAGCCCCGGCUAACUCCGUG